rnacentral:rRNA from 1 species
GCGCACCCAGAAACCCUUUGUGAACUUAUACCUUACUGUUGCCUCGGCGCAUGCUGGCCCCCUCGGGGUCCCUUGGAGACAAGGAGCAGGCACGCCGGCGGCCAAGUUAACUCUUGUUUUUACACUGAAACUCUGAGAAAAAACACAAAUGAAUCAAAACUUUCAACAACGGAUCUCUUGGUUCUGGCAUCGAUGAAGAACGCAGCGAAAUGCGAUAAGUAAUGUGAAUUGCAGAAUUCAGUGAAUCAUCGAAUCUUUGAACGCACAUUGCGCCCUCUGGUAUUCCGGAGGGCAUGCCUGUUCGAGCGUCAUUUCAACCCUCAAGCAUUGCUUGGUGUUGGGGCACUGCCUGUAAAAGGGCAGGCCCUGAAAUCUAGUGGCGAGCUCGCCAGGACCCCGAGCGCAGUAGUUAAACCCUCGCUUUGGAAGGCCCUGGCGGUGCCCUGCCGUUAAACCCCCAACUUUUGAAAAUUUGACCUCGGAUCAGGUAGGAAUACCCGCUGAACUUAAGCAUAUCAAUAA